rnacentral:tRNA from 1 species
CCCUGGUUAGCUCAGCUGGUAGAGCGCUCCACUGGAAAUGGAGAGGUCCGCGACCGAAAAACCCGGACCAGGCG